rnacentral:rRNA from 1 species
UUUGCCUACGGGGGGCAGCAGUGAGGAAUAUUGGUCAAUGGACGGAAGUCUGAACCAGCCAUGCCGCGUGCAGGAAGACGGCUCUAUGAGUUGUAAACUUCUUUUGUACAAGGGUAAACCUGAAUACGUGUAUUCAGCUGAAAGUACUGUACGAAUAAGGAUCGGCUAACUCCGUGCCAGCAGCCGCGGUAAUACGGAGGAUCCACGCGUUAUCCGGAUUUAUUGGGUUUAAAGGGUGCGUAGGCGGAUUGAUAAGUGAGAGGUGAAAUGUCCGAGCUCAAGUCG